GACGAACGCUGGCGGCGUGCUUAACACAUGCAAGUCGAACGGACAGGCCCUGCUUUUGUGGGGUGCUCGAGUGGCGAACGGGUGAGUAACACGUGAGUAACCUGCCCUUGACUUUGGGAUAACUUCAGGAAACUGGGGCUCAUACCGGAUAGGAGCUCCUGCUGCAUGGUGGGGGUUGGAAAGUUUCGGCGGUUGGGGAUGGACUCGCUGCUUCUCAGCUUGUUGGUGGGGUAGUUGCUUACCAAGGCUUUGACGGGUAGCCGGCAUGGGAGGGUGACCGGCGUCAUUGGGCCUGCGAUACGCACCAGACUCCUACGGGAGGCAGCAGGGGGGAAUAUUGCACAAUGGGCGGAAGUCUGAGGUAGCAACGCUCCGUGCGGGAUGACGGCUUUCGGGGGGUAAACCGCUGUCGCCUGUGACGAAGCGUGAGUGACGGUAAUGGGUAAAGAAGCACCGGCUAACUACGUG
rnacentral:rRNA from 1 species